UACAUGCCAGGAUCUCCUUCCUGUUCCAAC
rnacentral:piRNA from 1 species